rnacentral:rRNA from 1 species
GACGAACGCUGGCGGCGUGCCUAGUACAUGCAAGUCGAGCGAGCUGAACCAGCAGAUUCACUUCGGUGAUGACGCUGGGAACGCGAGCGGCGGAUGGGUGAGUAACACGUGGGUAACCUGCCCUAAAGUCUGGGAUACCACUUGGAAACAGGUGCUAAUACCGGAUAACAACAAUAGCUGCAUGGCUAUUGCUUAAAAGGCGGCGAAAGCUGUCGCUAAAGGAUGGACCCGCGGUGCAUUAGCUAGUUGGUAAGGUAACGGCUUACCAAGGCGACGAUGCAUAGCCGAGUUGAGAGACUGAUCGGCCACAUUGGGACUGAGACACGGCCCAAACUCCUACGGGAGGCAGCAGUAGGGAAUCUUCCACAAUGGGCGAAAGCCUGAUGGAGCAACGCCGCGUGAGUGAAGAAGGUUUUCGGAUCGUAAAGCUCUGUUGUUGGUGAAGAAGGAUAGAGGUAGUAACUGGCCCCUAUUUGACGGUAAUCAACCAGAAAGUCACGGCUAACUACGUGCCAGCAGCCGCCGUAA